UUGUGACCGCGCGCAUUGCGGUCGGUAGAUUCAGUGUUUGUUGCGCAAUGUUUCAAUAUUUUUCUGAGCGAAAUGGCUCUUAUUAAAUUGAUUCAUUUAAACUAUAAUUCAUGAAAUUAAAGUCAGUGAGUCCGCCGAUUAUUACUUAAUCGCGCGCGUUGGUAGUCUCUUAUUUUUCUUUUUUUCUCAUAUUUUCUCUUGUUCAAUAUUCGUUUUCAGUAUUUAAGUCAGUGUUCAAGAGGAGAAAGCCUCUCCAGGAGUUCAAGAUCGUAAAUAGUUUUAUAUAUUAUACUUCAAUUUAAUCAAUUUUUCAAAUUUAACAACAAAGUAUAAUAUUUGACGUUUUAUUACAGAUGCUUCACAGCAUCAAUUUUAUUGUACUUUUUGGAGAAUAUCCAACAGUGGUUUUAAAGGCAGGAAUAAGUUUUUCAUAGCGUGCACUUCCACUAUGAGAUCAGUAAUAUCUGCUUGGUGAGGAUCUUCACGAUGACUUUCCUUCGUCCAGAGCAACAUUGACGAUAACGUUCUGUGUAUUGCACAAGUAGAAUGGCCGGAAUCGUGGACACCGUCAGGCGCCAUUUUUUAAAAACGACUAUGUUUGAGAGUAUGCAGUGCCACUGAUUUUAACUUUUUUUGUUUCAACAAAAUUUUAAAACGUCGUUGAAAUACGUGCAAAUAAACCUUGUCAAUUUGAUUGCAAAAGGUAUUGUUCGCGCGCGUGUCGAGCGGUACGAGAUCUGAGAAUGUUUUGCGUUGUGGACUGUAUAUCUUUGACGCGCGCUUGUAUAUUAGGAUUUUUUCCCUCGGUGUUAAUUGUAAAUAUCGCGAGAGAACUAUGCAGCUUGGACGUCGGACCAAUUCUGCUUCGUAAGCCGAAAGAAAGCAGGGAAGCUCUCUCGGUUCCCUCUCCAUCGACUUCUGGAAAUCGCGGGCCCAAGAUGGGGCACAAAGGGCGGAUGGCCUGUCUCCAGUGUUUUCGCACAUGUUCGGGAAAGCUGAUUCCAUACUUCAGUCCACAGUCGAGGGCUUCGUCUGAUGUAAAACAAAGCUCAGCCAGAAGGGCAAGAGGCAAUAGCUUAUGGGCCUGCUAGGGACUCAGGUCAUUCAAAAUACAUAAACUUUCUCCGGCGAACAUGCCCAGACCGUGAACAUUGUAGGAAACUCUCCCGAACAGUAUAACAGUAUAAUAGUUUCUUUGCAAAAAAUUCUCAAAAAAGUGCUAAAAAUCACUUCACACUAGAAGACGCCCUUAAGCAGGAACAGACAAAAACGAAAAGUACAAAAUUAAAAAAUGAUUUAAUACAUAUCAUGUGAACUGUCACAGCGACAUGAAGUCUCAAAUGCGAACGUAAUUUUAAUUAAAUUCAAUAAUUAUUAAUGCAUUACGGGUAUAAAUGCUCUUUUGAAUUGUAUAAAUGUUUUAAAGUUCUUAAUAAAGGUAUAUGGUGACCGAAUUUCGAAUUCCAUUGUUAAGUACAUCGUAUACUGUGCUCGGCAAUAAUAGAAUUUUAUUCUACUAAAUAGCAGGAUAUUUUGCUAAUAUUUAUCGGUAUUAAAAGAACAAACUUUAAAGAUCUAAGAAAGAAAUUUUAUUUUGUCAAAAAACCAAAAGAAAAUAUUGAGAUAAAAAUGAGGAGUCGCUUGUUUGAACCGCGCGUGUACGUAUAUACGAAUCUUUAAAAGUUUUUUUCGUUAUGCGUGAAAUUUUUAAAACAUUGCGAAUAUGUUAACUAUAUGUUAAUUAUUAUAUUAUUCUUAUUGCUAUUAUAACCAUUGUUAUUAUUA